GACGUAGGGCGCGAGCGUUGUCCGGAUUUAUUGGGCGUAAAGAGCUCGUAGGCGGCUUGUCGCGUCGUCCGUGAAAACCUGCGCUCAACUGCGGCUUGCGGCGAUACGGGCAGGCGUAGAGUUCGGUAGGGGAGACUGGAAUUCCUGGUGUAGCGGUGAAAUGCGCAGAUAUCAGGAGGAACACCGGUGGCGAAGGCGGGGUCUCUGGGCCGGGUACUGACGCUGGAGACGCGAAAGCGUGGGGAGCAAACAGG
rnacentral:rRNA from 1 species